rnacentral:rRNA from 1 species
UACGGAGGGGGGCUAGCGUUGUUCGGAAUUACUGGGCGUAAAGCGCGCGUAGGCGGACCUGCAAGUCGGGGGGUGAAAAGCCCGAGGCUCAACCUCGGAACUGCCUUCGAUACUGCGGGUCUCGAGUCCGGGAGAGGUGAGUGGAAUUCCUAGUGUUAGAGGUGAAAAUUCGUAGAUAUUUAGGAAAGAACACCAGUGGCGAAGGGCGG